GCCCCGGUAAACGGCGGCCGUAACUAUAACGGUCCUAAGGUAGCGAAAUUCCUUGUCGGGUAAGUUCCGACCUGCACGAAUGGCGUAAUGAUGGCCAGGCUGUCUCCACCCGAGACUCAGUGAAAUUGAACUCGCUGUGAAGAUGCAGUGUACCCGCGGCAAGACGGAAAGACCCCGUGAACCUUUACUAUAGCUUGACACUGAACAUUGAGCCUUGAUGUGUAGGAUAGGUGGGAGGCUUUGAAGUGUGGACGCCAGUCUGCAUGGAGCCGACCUUGAAAUACCACCCUUUAAUGUUUGAUGUUCUAACGUUGGCCCGUAAUCCGGGUUGCGGACAGUGUCUGGUGGGUAGUUUGACUGGGGCGGUCUCCUCCUAAAGAGUAACGGAGGAGCACGAAGGUUGGCUAAUCCUGGUCGGACAUCAGGAGGUUAGUGCAAUGGCAUAAGCCAGCUUGACUGCGAGCGUGACGGCGCGAGCAGGUGCGAAAGCAGGUCAUAGUGAUCCGGUGGUUCUGAAUGGAAGGGCCAUCGCUCAACGGAUAAAAGGUACUCCGGGGAUAACAGGCUGAUACCGCCCAAGAGUUCAUAUCGACGGCGGUGUUUGGCACCUCGAUGUCGGCUCAUCACAUCCUGGGGCUGAAGUAGGUCCCAAGGGUAUGGCUGUUCGCCAUUUAAAGUGGUACGCGAGCUGGGUUUAGAACGUCGUGAGACAGUUCGGUCCCUAUCUGCCGUGGGCGCUGGAGAACUGAGGGGGGCUGCUCCUAGUACGAGAGGACCGGAGUGGACGCAUCACUGGUGUUCGGGUUGUCAUGCCAAUGGCACUGCCCGGUAGCUAAAUGCGGAAGAGAUAAGUGCUGAAAGCAUCUAAGCACGAAACUUGCCCCGAGAUGAGUUCUCCCUGAGACUUAGAGUCUCCUGAAGGAACGUUGAAGACGACGACGUUGAUAGGCCGGGUGUGUAAGCGCAGCGAUGCGU
rnacentral:rRNA from 1 species